rnacentral:rRNA from 1 species
UACCAAGCCUGCGAUCUGUAGUUGGUCUGAGAGGACGACCAGCCACACUGGAAACUGAGACACGGUCCAGACUCUUACGGGAGGCAGCAGUGGGGCAUUUUGGACAAUGGGCGCAAGCUUGAUCCAGCAAUGCCGCGUGCAGGAAGAAGGCCUUCGGGUUGUAAACUGCUUUUGUCAGGGAAGAAAUCCUUUGAGCUAAUACCUCGGGGGGAUGACGGUACCUGAAGAAUAAGCACCGGCUAACUACGUGCCAGCAGCCGCGGUAAUACGUAGGGUGCGAGCGUUAAUCGGAAUUACUGGGCGUAAAGCGUGCGCAGGCGGCUUUGCAAGACAGAUGUGAAAUCCCCGGGCUCAACCUGGGAACUGCAUUUGUGACUGCAAGGCUAGAGUACGGCAGAGGGGGAUGGAAUUCCGCGUGUAGCAGUGAAAUGCGUAGAUAUGCGGAGGAACACCAAUGGCGAAGGCAAUCCCCUGGGCCUGUACUGACGCUCAUGCACGAAAGCGUGGGGAGCAAACAGGAUUAGAUACCCUGGUAGUCCACGCCCUAAACGAUGUCAACUGGUUGUUGGACGGCUUGCUGUUCAGUAACGAAGCUAACGUCGUGAAGUUGACCGCCUGGGAGUACGGCCGCACGUUGAAACUCAAAGAUCGACGGGACCGCACAAGCGGUGGAUGAUGUGAUUUGAUUCGAUGCAACGCGUAACACCUUACCUACCCUUGACAUGUCAAGUAUUUUGCAGAGAUGUGAAAGUGCUUGAAAGAGAACUUGAACACAGGUGCUGCAUGGCCGUCGUCAGCUCGUGUCGUGAGAUGUUGGGUUAAGUCCCGCAACGAGCGCAACCCUUGUCAUUAGUUGCUACAUUCAGUUGGGCACUCUAAUGAGACUGCCGGUGACAAACCGGAGGAAGGUGGGGAUGACGUCAGGUCCUCAUGGCCCUUAUGGGUAGGGCUACACACGUCAUACAAUGGCCGGUACAGAGGGUUGCCAACCCGCGAGGGGGAGCUAAUCUCAGAAAACCGGUCGUAGUCCGGAUCGCAGUCUGCAACUCGACUGCGUGAAGUCGGAAUCGCUAGUAAUCGCGGAUCAGAAUGUCGCGGUGAAUACGUUCCCGGGUCUUGUACACACCGCCCGUCACACCAUGGGAGCGGGUCUCGCCAGAAGUAGGUAGCCUAACCGCAAGGAGGGCGCUUACCACGGCGG